AUUGAACGCUGGCGGCAUGCCUAACACAUGCAAGUCGAGCGGAUGGACGGAGCUUGCUCCUGGAUUCAGCGGCGGGCGGGUGAGUAAUGCCUAGGAAUCUGCCUGGUAGUGGGUUAUAACGUCCGGAAACGGGCGCUAAUACUGCAUACGUCCUGAGGGAGAAAGUGGGGGAUCUUCGGACCUCACGCUCUCAGAUGAGCCUAGGUCGGAUUAGCUAGUUGGUUGGGUAAAGGCCUACCAAGGCGACGAUCCGCAACUGGUCUGAGAGGAUGAUCAGUCACACUGGAAGUGGGACACGGUCCAGACUACUACGGGAGGCAGCAGUGGGGAAUAUUGGACAAUGGGCGAGAGUAUGAUACAGCGAUGCGGCGUGUGUGAAGAAGGUCUUCGGAUUGUAAAGCACUUUUAGGUGGGAGGAAGGGCAGUAAGUUAAUACCUUGCUGGUUUGACGGUAACAACAGAAUAAGCACCGGCUAACUACGUG
rnacentral:rRNA from 1 species